CGUCCAGCCCGCUACAGAAAACUUUAAAGGAAUUCGACGGGGGGCCCGCACAAGCGGGUGGAGCAUGUGGUUUAAUUCGAUGAUACGCGAGGAACCUUACCUGGGCUCAAAUGUAUGUUGACGUAUUCUGAAAGGGAUACUUCUUCGGACAAUAUACAAGGUGCUGCAUGGUUGUCGUCAGCUCGUGCCGUGAGGUGUCGGGUUAAGUCCCAUAACGAGCGCAACCCCUAUCAUUAGUUGCCAUCAGGUCAAGCUGGGGACUCUAAAGGAACUGCCUACGCAAGUAGUGAGGAAGGCGGGGAUGACGUCAAAUCAGCACGGCCCUUACGUCCAGGGCUACACACGUGCUACAAUGGCCGAUACAGAGGGCAGCUACCUGGUGACAGGAUGCAAAUCUCCAAAGUCGGUCUCAGUUCGGAUCGGAGUCUGCAACCCGACUCCGUGAAGUUGGAUUCGCUAGUAAUCGCGCAUCAGCCAUGGCGCGGUGAAUACGUUCCCGGGCCUU
rnacentral:rRNA from 1 species